rnacentral:lncRNA from 1 species
UAUUAUUUAUUAUAGUCAAUUUAUAUAUAAUAAAAAAUUAUUUGACGCAUUUCUAGUAUCAGAUGGUGUAUCAGCACUAUGUCUAUGUUUAAUUGCAACAAUAUGAUGUAGUGGUUGUUUUUGGUCAAUUUUUUACAGUUUUUUUGCAUUAUUAACAUUAAUGUUAACACAUAAAAUAUCCAUACUAAAUUUCAACUAAAUAUAAACAUUUUUUUAUUAUUUUCCGUUUUCAGUAUACAAUUGAGAAAUUACUAUGCAUCACGACCACGUUUUUAUUUAUUUUAUUAAAAAUAUGUUUUAAAGCAAUUUUCAAAGAAAAAAUGAAAUUUAAAAAAUAAUACUUUUCAAAUUGAUGAUGGUUCUAUGCCUCAAUAUAAAUGGUAGUUAAGUACAAAGAAAAAAACAUAUAUAUGAAUAGAUAGCAAGCAACGCAAUGUACAUUUGAUAUGACUACAGUAACAUUUACAAAUGCAUCAAAAUUUAUACCAACUUAUCAAUAUACACAUAUGACUAUAUAUAUUUAUAUAUAUCGAGAGAGAGAGAGAGAGAAAAGAUAAGAGUUUACGAUCUAUUGAAAC